rnacentral:rRNA from 1 species
GUCGUAACAAGGUUUCCGUAGGUGAACCUGCGGAAGGAUCAUA